GACGAACGCUGGCGGCGUGCUUAACACAUGCAAGUCGAACGGAAAGGCCCUGCUUUUGUGGGGUGCUCGAGUGGCGAACGGGUGAGUAACACGUGAGUAACCUGCCCUUUACUUUGGGAUAACUUCAGGAAACUGGGGCUAAUACCGGAUAGGAGCUCCUGCUGCAUGGUGGGGGUUGGAAAGUUUCGGUGGUUGGGGAUGGACUCGCGGCUUAUCAGCUUGUUGGUGGGGUAGUGGCUUACCAAGGCUUUGACGGGUAGCCGGCCUGAGAGGGUGACCGGCCACAUUGGGACUGAGAUACGGACCAGACUCCUACGGGAGGCAGCAGUGAGGAAUAUUGCACAAUGGGCGGAAGCCUGAUGCAGCAACGCCGCGUGCGGGAUGACGGCCUUCGGGUUGUAAACCGCUUUCGCCUGUGACGAAGCGUGAGUGACGGUAAUGGGUAAAGAAGCACCGGCUAACUACGUG
rnacentral:rRNA from 1 species